GCGGGGCCGUCAGCGGGACCGUCGGCACGGCAGGAUGCUUCCUGGGGCUGCUGGCAUUCGUGCCGCCCGGCGCCGCCGUCCUCGGGUUGAUCUGGUGGGCAGCCCGGCUCCGCCGAAGGCCGGCCCGCGCUGCGCUGAGACGGGGCCCGGAGCCCGAGUGCGAGUACGCAGCGGUGGGGCGCUGAGAAGCCCUUUCCCCACGCCCCCUCUGCCAGAACCCGCUCCCGCCUGCCGUCUCCAAAGCAGCUGAAAAAAGAGAGGAAAGGGAAAGUUGUGGGAUCCUGCGCCCUGCGGCGAUGGGGACUGG